rnacentral:rRNA from 1 species
GAUGAACGCUGGCGGCGUGCCUAAUACAUGCAAGUCGAGCGAACAGACGAGGAGCUUGCUCCUCUGGCGUUAGCGGCGGACGGGUGAGUAACACGUGGAUAACCUACCUAUAAGACUGGGAUAACUUCGGGAAACCGGAGCUAAUACCGGAUAAUAUAUUGAACCGCAUGGUUCAAUAGUGAAAGACGGUUUUGCUGUCACUUAUAGAGGGAUCCGCGCCGCAUUAGCUAGUUGGUAAGGUAACGGCUUACCAAGGCAACGAUGCGUAGCCGACCUGCGAGGGGGAUCGGCCACACUGGAACUGAGACACGGUCCAGACUCCUACGGGAGGCAGCAGUAGGGAAUCGUCCGCGAUGGGCGAAAGCCUGACGGAGCAACGCCGCGUGAGUGAUGAAGGUCUUCGGAUCGUAAAACUCUGUUAUUAGGGAAGAACAAAUGUGUAAGUAACUAUGAACGUCUUGACGGUACCUAAUCAGAAAGCCACGGCUAACUACGUGCCAGCCGCCGCAGUAA